rnacentral:lncRNA from 1 species
GCCUAUCUCGACUUGAUAGGGAGAAUGUCCGGGGAGCUGAAAAGCAUGAUCUGUGUGCAUCUUAAAAUAUGGCUUGGGAGUUCUGGCCUAUCUAGACUAGAUGUGUGCAGUCUAUAUUUUUUCUUAAUCAAACAAUCUUGUGAUAUACUCAUAAUUAAUGGUAUUGGCUAGGCUCAGGUUUUUCACAGGGGUCCUUCAGAUCAGAUGAUGACGCAACUUCUGUUGUAGAGGAGAUGAUUAGCACCUUCAAGUGCCGCUCAACAUGGUGGGAAGGAUAAUUUAAGUGGCCAGAAUUAUGUGGAAGGUGCUGAAAAGAGGGGUAAGUUUAGUCGCCUUGGAACUAUGUUAGUCUAGUGAUGAGAAUUUUAUCAACCUUUUGGGAUCAAUCAACUAUAAAUAAUCUAAAACUUGAAAAUACUGUAAAUUCUUUUGAAUAGUGUAAGACUCGCAGCUAAAAAACAUGGGGCUCUACAUUAGUUUUAUCAUAUGGACCUAAUGAGAAUUGUUAUACCAUGGUGUUUUUAUGUUGUUAACAUUCCACCAGCAAUAUGGGCUAUGACAAUACACUCCCUAAUCUUUAGCUCAAUAUGUUUUUCAACAUUGUCCUAAUCACCCUAUUUUUCAUGAAACUAAUAGUUUCUUUUUGUUUGCUUUGUUUAGAUGUACUAUUGUUAAUAUUUUGUUGGGAUUUGUCUGAUCUCUGUAGUUUGUUAGCUAAGCAGUACAAGUUUGGCUAGAAUUUAUAUGCUAUUACAAUUAUAUAUGAUGUUGAGAGGAGGCAUGUGGGACUUAUACCGUGUAUACUAAUAGACACUGACUUCUUGCAAGUACAAGCUCUUCAGCAAAUUUGUUUCUCAACUCUUCAGCAUGUAUGCAUUGUUCCCUUAUGUUGACUUCCUUUUCAUCCCAAGAUAUAUUGCACAAGGCUCCCAACAUUCUUUAGAUCAAUUUUUUCAACUUAUGCUGGUUUGCCAAAUACAAUUCUAGAAUCUCCUCUCAGAGCAACAUCUUCUGAAAGGACAAUCAUUCUGAGGAAUGAGCUACCAAAUUGCAUGCAAAUGAGUUAUGCAUUAAUUUCAAGCACACAAGAAAAAUGUUGAAAUAUCUCAGGUGAAAGAAAUAUUGCAAGUGAAAAUAUAUGGCACUUAGAAGAACACUUGUCAUGUAAAUGAGUUCUUUUUUUUUGCAGUGCUAAGGUGCUUUAAUGAACUUCAUGGGUGAUGCAGGGCAACAAAGGAAGGAGAGAGAGCUGACGAUAUUGAACGUGUGUGCCCGUCAUCUCCGUAGACAUGGAAGACCUCGCCGAUAAGAAUUGAUUUUAGAGAAGCAGUGUGUGAGAUGCCCAGUGAAGACAAUGAUUUUGGGUUCGUACCAACCACGUGUUACAGUUAAAUUUGUACGUGACAAGUCAUCAUGGCAAUAUGCAUAGUGUGAUAAAAUGGGAGAAAUUUAAAAAUGUGACAUUAUAGUUAAUUGGGUAUUUGACAUAAUUUGUCUCCUGUAGUAAGUGAGAUUUGCUAAGGUUGACGGCGGCCAUCAUCUCUUGUAGUAUAUCAGAUUUGCUAAAGUUGAGAAAUGCUUUAAUGAUGUUAAAGAGAGAGUGGAUCUGGAGGAGAAACAUGCGCCGGGAGAAAGAUGUCAUUUUGUCUUCUUCCAAGAAAAGUGUGGUUAAG